CAAAAUGGUAAUGCGGGACUCUUGUUCGAAAAGCAGGAAACAAGUACCCUGAAAGUGCCAUUUUCAAGAAGAAUGGACUGAGGAGGACUGGGAUUGUUACAGCAAGAAUGUCAAGAGAAAGACAAAGUCCUUAUGCAGCCAGUGACAUCCAAGGCAUGGAGGCAAGAUAGUUGAGUCUGCAGCAUCUAGAAGUCAAACUUUGACAAGAGAGAGAAGGGUUUCCUAAAUUUGCUGAGUUCCACUAACAUAUUAAGAACCAGGCCUGGCGGACCAGAUCCAGGAGUCUGACAUAAGCUAAGGAGAACACGCUGCCAGGAUGUGCUGCAAGCCAGCACCGCUUCUCUGACUUUAAUGUGCAUGUGAAUCACCCGGGCACCUUGUUAACAUACAAGCCCUGGUUCCGCAAGUCCAUGGUGGGGCUUGAGAGUCUACAUUUCUAAUAAGCUCUGGGGAUACUGAUGCAGCUCGUCCGUGGCCCACUGUCUAGUGGCAAAGAUGUUAAGGAUAUCAAGGCUAAAACUGAA
rnacentral:lncRNA from 1 species